CUACGGGCUGCUGCAGUGGGGAAUCUUGGACAAUGGGCGCAAGCCUGAUCCAGCCAUGCCGCGUGAGUGAUGAAGGCCUUAGGGUCGUAAAGCUCUUUCGCCAGAGAUGAUAAUGACAGUAUCUGGUAAAGAAACCCCGGCUAACUCCGUGCCAGCAGCCGCGGUAAUACGGAGGGGGUUAGCGUUGUUCGGAAUUACUGGGCGUAAAGCGCGCGUAGGCGGACUAGUCAGUCAGGGGUGAAAUCCCGGGGCUCAACCCCGGAACUGCCUUUGAUACUGCUAGUCUAGAGUUCGAGAGAGGUGAGUGGAAUUCCGAGUGUAGAGGUGAAAUUCGUAGAUAUUCGGAGGAACACCAGUGGCGAAGGCGGCUCACUGGCUCGAUACUGACGCUGAGGUGCGAAAGUGUGGGGAGCAAACAGGAUUAGAUACCCUUGUAGUC
rnacentral:rRNA from 1 species